GGAGCUUGCAGUGAGCCGAGAUCCCGCCACUGCACUCCAGCCUGGGCGACAGAGCGAGACUCCGUCUCAAAAAAAGAAAGAAAGAAAAACAGGCAACCAGAAUACUAAAAUAAUCCACUUGGAUGGAGUUCUCCAGUAAGCCACCUUUCUUCGCAAUUCUUAUAAGGUCAAAAUAAAGGACAACAUUAAAUUGCGAAUGCCAAUGACACCCCAAGAUGAAAAAGUUACAAACAUGUCUAGAAUACACGCUGCAGGGGAAGAAGCAACCACAUAAAUGAAACUUCAUAAAGAAUGUAGAAAACAGCCCUGCACCGCUGACAGCACAGAGUGACAUCUAAGGAUUGAACAUGUGGAGCCCGGCAUGCUAGGACCAUUACCAAUCAUUUCUACUGUGUCAUUAUUCAAGGCUGUCUCUAGUUCUGAACACUGAUACAACAAUUCAUUGGAAAUACGCUACAACAACACAAAGAAAUGGUAUGUUUGGGAUAACCGCUUUGGAAAACUACAAUGAUAUAUUUUAAAAAUUAAAGAACUAAAGACAAUCCAC
rnacentral:lncRNA from 1 species